AACGAACGCUGGCGGCAUGCCUAACACAUGCAAGUCGAACGAGACCUUCGGGUAUAGUGGCGCACGGGUGCGUAACGCGUGGGAACCUGCCCUUAGGUUCGGAAUAACUCCCCGAAAGGGGUGCUAAUACCGGAUAAUGUCUUCGGACCAAAGAUUUAUCGCCUUUGGAUGGGCCCGCGUUGGAUUAGCUAGUUGGUAGGGUAAAAGCCUACCAAGGCGACGAUCCAUAGCUGGUCUGAGAGGAUGAUCAGCCACACUGGGACUGAGACACGGCCCAGACUCCUACGGGAGGCAGCAGUGGGGAAUAGUGGACAAUGGGCGAAAGCCUGAUCCAGCAAUGCCGCGUGAGUGAUGAAGGCCUUAGGGUUGUAAAGCUCUUUUACCCGGGAUGAUAAUGACAGUACCGGGAGAAUAAGCUCCGGCUAACUCCGUG
rnacentral:rRNA from 1 species